UAUUUUAAUAGCUUAUGUAGAGUAUAAUGCUGAAGACAUUAGGGAAUUUUUUUUAAAAUAU
rnacentral:tRNA from 1 species